GCUAAGUUAGCAAAAAAUAUAAUGUGUGUGAUUUAGGAUCACAAGGUAGGGAUUCCUACUUAGUU
rnacentral:tRNA from 1 species